GGAUAAUCUGCCCCUGCAGCUGGAAUAGCGACUGGAAACGGUCGAUAAUACCGGAUACGCCCUUGUUGAACGAUGAGGGGAAAGGAGACCUCUGCUUGCAAGUUUCCGUGCAGGGAUGAGUCCGCGUCCCAUUAGCUUGUUGGCGGGGUAACGGCCCACCAAGGCGACGAUGGGUAGCCGAUUUGAGAGGAUGAUCGGCCACAUUGGAACUGAAACACGGUCCAAACUCCUACGGGAGGCAGCAGUGGGGAAUAUUGCGCAAUGGGCGAAAGCCUGACGCAGCGACGCCGCGUGAGGGAUGAAGGUCUUCGGAUCGUAAACCUCUGUCGGAAGGGAAAAAGGUGCAGGGUGCCAAUCAGCCCUGCAUUGAUGGUACCUUCAGAGGAAGCACCGGCUAACUCCGUGCCAGCAGCCGCGGUAAUACGGAGGGUGCAAGCGUUAAUCGGAAUUACUGGGCGUAAAGCGCACGUAGGUUGUCCUGUAAGUCAGGGGUGAAAGCCCGCGGCUCAACUGCGGAACUGCCCUUGAUACUGCAGGACUCGGAUCCGGGAGAGGUCAGCGGAAUUCCAGGUGUAGGAGUGAAAUCCGUAGAUAUCUGGAGGAACAUCAGUGGCGAAGGCGGCUGACUGGACCGGCAUUGACGCUG
rnacentral:rRNA from 1 species